rnacentral:rRNA from 1 species
UUGAACGCUGGCGGCAUGCUUUACACAUGCAAGUCGAACGGUAACAGGUCUUCGGAUGCUGACGAGUGGCGAACGGGUGAGUAAUGCAUCGGAACGUGCCCAGUCGUGGGGGAUAACGCAGCGAAAGCUGUGCUAAUACCGCAUGAGUCCUGAGGGAGAAAGCGGGGGAUCGCAAGACCUCGCGCGAUUGGAGUGGCCGAUGUCAGAUUAGCUAGUUGGUGGGGUAAAGGCCUACCAAGGCGACGAUCUGUAGCGGGUCUGCAAGGAUGAUCCGCCAAACUGGGACUGAGACACGGCCAAGACUCCUACGGGAGGCAGCAGUGGGGAAUUUUGGACAAUGGGCGAAAGCCUGAUCCAGCCAUGCCGCGUGCGGGAAGAAGGCCUUCGGGUUGUAAACCGCUUUCAGCCGGAAAGAAAUCGCCACUUCUAAUACGAGUGGUGGAUGACGGUACCGGAAGAAGAAGCACCGGCUAACUACGU